rnacentral:sRNA from 1 species
GAUUUUAUGAUACAAUAAUAAAGUAGAAAAAGUUAAGACGGUGGCUAUCUUUGAGAGGUGGUGGUGCUUAUGAAAGUAAACAUCAAAAUCUAUAGAAAGGAAAUGCCUGUUUGUCCGCAUAUGAGACAAUUCAAGUGAUAUUGGGUUUUGGUAUGUUUACCAUUGCGCUGAUUAGCUUAGU